rnacentral:lncRNA from 1 species
GAGAAACAGCCAGAAAACAUGGAGAUACUUAAGCUUAAAUCUAUGCUGGGAAAGCUCUAAUUAUAAAAGCUCCACACCUGUUUGCAAGCUUGGCAGCACGGCACUUUGGUUUUGAUGGGAUUUCUCUGGAUCAGAACUGCUUUUCAUCUGUGGUGACCACAAAAAAAAAAAAAACUCUCCAGAGAUCUGGUAAGGAUGAAGAAUUUCAGAGGACUGUGCUUUGAUCUGAAGAUGAUGAAGAGGGUUCCUUCUGGACUCGAGGAGUAGCUGUAGUGACCAAGACAAAAAAAAACAAAAAAUGUCUCAGUUUGGUUAACAAAAGGACACGGAAGACACCGACGUAGAGCUGUCCAGGCUGGAUCACGACCGGUGAAGGGACUGGAUUCAUGCACAGAGCUCCCACUCUGCUCCCUAAAUGACUCACUAAAAAGCUGCCUUGCCGGUGAUCAAGCUGUGAGGGGGCCUUGAUCGCACACCAGGACUCUGGGCCUGCCCUUCUGCUCAGACUCUGCAG